rnacentral:pre_miRNA from 1 species
AGGUCAGGACUUGCGCAAUGUUGGUCAGACUGGCAAAUAUUGCACUCGUCCCGGCCUGC